UGGUGUGUGUGUGUGUGUGUGUUUCAAAACAGAGUUAGUUCAAAACUCAGUAUAGUACUGGCUGUCCUGAAACUCGUUCUAUAGGCCAUUCUUGUCUGCCUCCAAAUCCUGGGAUUAAGUGAGUACUACCAUCAAUCCAUAUGUGGCUAUUCUAUAGAACAAUUACAUGAUGAAAUCCCUUUUUCACUUGAGGUUAUCUAUACUUAGUACAUACAAGAACUUGGAGCUAUUCACAGUGCUAAAGAAGAAUCCUCUCAUCUAAUAUAUGAUGAAAUACAUCUUGGCCUCUGAGUUUCUGAAGUAAGAUUAAUAAUAGAUGCUGGAGGUCUCAUUGAUUAUCAGGAAGAAGAUUUUAGUCCUCUGUUUCUCAGCCACAUGUGACCCUCUUCUUUCUUCCCUCUGCAUUAGCAGGCAACUUUGAGUCUAAGCUGCUCUGAUUUAACGUUAUGAUCACAUGGCUAUGUGUAAUGGAUACAGUGUCUGGGAGUCUGUGCCUUCUGAGUGAUGACUGUUACUGGGAGUAAUACCUUCAUUACCUGGGUACCAGGUACUACAAAUUGAUGAUCUUCUUGAAGGUUCUGUCAGGAAAAUGAGCUAGUGGAUUCAUCAGAAUUCUUCUGUUUUGUUUUCUAAGUUUUCUUUUCUGUCACUAAUAUUCCUUUCUCCACAGUUUCAAAUGCAGGUUGCAUCUACUUUAGUCAUUAUAGUAACUAUAAUGUGACCACAUGUUGUUUCUUUUUUAAUAAUCCAAAAAAUAUCUCAGUCAUGUUUACUUUUGCUAAUAUGUUCAUUUUAUGAUGUUUUAGAAAAAUGCUAAUUUUGUUGUAUUUAUUUCUUUAUUGCCAGUUUCUCUCUUUGUUAUUCUUUAGUAACUUCUUACAUGGAUAUGUGAUAAUAUUCAUCCACUGCCCUCUUUUGUCAUCUUUCUUCUCCAACAACAGCCUUUUUUCCCCCAACUAGCCUACUUCAUACUGUGUGAACGUGUGUGAAUGUGUGUUUGUGUGUGUGUGUGUGUGCACAUGUGUGUGCAUGAGUGAUUCACUAAAUUUCAUUAUGGUUGGCUGCAUGAGAAUGAGUAGGAAACCUGGACAACUAUUACUAUUGUCAUAGCAACUAUUGCUAUGACAUUCCAUACUCCAUACUCUGUAGUUAGUCGCAUAUAUUCAGUACUCUAAACAUGUUUGAAUCUCUGUAAGAACUGCUGCCCACUCAAAAAAAUUAGCUUUUCUGUAGAUGUUGAGAACAACACUAGUAUAUGGUUAAAAGCAUAUGUCAGUAGAAGGUAGUUGGGCACAAUGUCUAUUUUGAUAUGAAAAUAUCAAUUUUCUUCUAAGCUCUAUGAUAUCCCCCCAACUGUAGGCUCUUUACCAAGUUUUCAUUCUUCACCAUGAGCUAACUUCUCUUGAGUGGGCUGACAAUCCAAUCUGAAAGCUGUCCUUUACCCUAUAACAGUUAUGCUACUAUUGUACCAAUGUGAAUCUCCCCCUCCCCUGUAGAUUGUUACUGUAGAUCAUGGUAUCUCCAGCUGUGUAGGACUGAUGGUGAAUUCACUCCUCCAGAAGCUUCUAGAGUAAGUUCUGGCAUUGUGUAAGCAAGCCAACAAAGGGGGUGGGGUGUAAUUCUUCUCCAUGUCCUGCAACCCAAUGUGUGAUGUCUCCAUCAGUUGUUUUACAUUAUCAUUCUUUUAGGCAACCAAGAGAAUGCAUUAUUUGGGAAUACAGGGGUCUGUCUACAUUAACAACAACUUGCAGGGAUAUAACUCAUACCAGGUACUGGUUUCUGAGAAGAUUACUAUCUAUCCAUGCUAGUUGAGAAAUACCUUUAGCUUCAUUUUUAGUAGAUUUAGAAAAUACUAGUCAUGAUGGUUCAUGUUAAUUGUCAACUUAACGACAUGUAUGAUCACCUGGAAGAUGUGCCUGUGGGGAAUAACCUUUCUUACACUGAAGUGAGAUUUCGAAUUACUGAGGGCUUACCAUGCUCUGGCUGGGAUCCUGGAUUGUAUAAAUGGAAAAGGUAGAGAGCAUGCAUGCGUCCAACCCUUUUCUCUCUCUUCCUAGUUAGAAUGUGACUAGAUGUCUUUAGCUCUGUUGCUCUGAUGUCCCCACAGGUGCUCCUUUACAGUUUGGACUACAAACUGAAAUAAGCAGUUUACCCUUUGAAUUGCUUUUGCCAGAGUAUCUUAUCAUAGC
rnacentral:lncRNA from 1 species